AUUGAACGCUGGCGGCAGGCUUAACACAUGCAAGUCGAACGAGUGGCGGACGGGUGAGUAAUAUGUGGGACUCUAGCUUAUGGGGGGAGAUAACUACGGAAAGCUGUCGCUUAUACCGCAUACCAUAAGAUGCGCCCAUGUGGGUUUAGGUAGUUGGUGGGGUAAAGGCUCACCAAGGAGGCGAUCUCUAGCUGGUCUGAGAGGAUGACCAGCCACACUGGGACUGAGACACGGCCCAGACUCCUACGGGAGGCAGCAGUGGGGAAUAUUGCGCAAUGGGGGCAACCUGACGCAGCCAUGCCGCGUGAAUGAAGAAGGCCUUCGGGUUGUAAAGUACUUUCGGUAGCGAGGCGUUAACUACAGAAGAAGCACCGGCUAACUCCGUGCCAGCAGCCGCGGUAAUAC
rnacentral:rRNA from 1 species